AUUGAACGCUGGCGGCAUGCUUUACACAUGCAAGUCGAACGGCAGCGCGGGCUUCGGCCUGGCGGCGAGUGGCGAACGGGUGAGUAAUACAUCGGAACGUGCCCAGUAGUGGGGGAUAGCUCGGCGAAAGCCGGAUUAAUACCGCAUACGACCUGAGGUGAAAGCGGGGGAUCUUCGGACCUCGCGCUAUUGGAGCGGCCGAUGGCAGAUUAGCUAGUUGGUGGGGUAAAGGCCUACCAAGGCGACGAUCUGUAGCUGGUCUGAGAGGACGACCAGCCACACUGGGACUGAGACACGGCCCAGACUCCUACGGGAGGCAGCAGUGGGGAAUUUUGGACAAUGGGCGAAAGCCUGAUCCAGCAAUGCUGCGUGUGUGAUGAAGGCCUUCGGGUUGUAAAGCACUUUUGGCGGGAACGAAGGGACUGUGCCAAUACCACGGUUACGAUGAACG
rnacentral:rRNA from 1 species